GAGUAGAUCCAUAAGAAAAGAGGUUUGACAGACUCAAUUCAAUCCAUUCCCCCCCAAAAAAAAGUUUGGUUUGAUUAAUUCAGCCAGCGUUUCAACAACAGUAAUAGAAAUAUUGUAAAUAUAUGUUAUAUAAAAUUCAAUAAACCAGAAAAAAGAUAAUAGAAAACACAAACCUAGUUGUCCUUUUGAUAUUACAAUAAUAUAUAAUACCUACUGAUUGAAGUCAAACAGGUGUAAUACUUUUGCCUAUUGUUCUAUUGCUUAAUCAUUGGUCCAGAUGAGGAGCACCUUUUAUGCCCUAGCUUAGUGUGUUAAUUUUCUUCCUGGGCUCAGUGGACAAAUCAUGCAUGGCAUGUGCUAUAUCUUUUGUAUGGGUACACAAAGUGCACCUUCUCUGAAAAGUUAUUUUAAUAUUUCAUUCAUUUUUCAAUGUUGAAUUCACAUCUAACAUCAUGAGAUUACCAUUGUAAAAAGAAUGCAAGUAACAAAAUAUUAAAAAUCCUUAAUGAGGGGGAACUACAGAACUUUGCAAUCCUUACUGGGGUGUUUUUCACUUUUGAAGGUAUGCCCUGCAUUUGGAACUC
rnacentral:misc_RNA from 1 species